rnacentral:rRNA from 1 species
AGAGUUUGAUCCUGGCUCAGGAUAAACGCUGGCGGCGCACAUAAGACAUGCAAGUCGAACGGACUUAAUCGAUUCUUUUAGAUUCGAAGCGGUUAGUGGCGGACUGGUGAGUAACACGUAAGCAACCUGCCUAUUAGAGGGGAAUAACAGUGAGAAAUCACUGCUAAAACCGCAUAUGCCGUGAACAUCGCAUGAUGAAAACGGGAAAAGAGCAAUCUGCUAAUAGAUGGGCUUGCGUCUGAUUAGCUAGUUGGUGUGGUAAAGGCAUACCAAGGCAACGAUCAGUAGCCGGACUGAGAGGUUGAACGGCCACAUUGGGACUGAGAUACGGCCCAGACUCCUACGGGAGGCAGCAGUCGGGAAUAUUGCGCAAUGGAGGAAACUCUGACGCAGUGACGCCGCGUAUGGGAAGAAGGUUUUCGGAUUGUAAACCAUUUUAGACAAGGAAGAAAGAAGACAGUACUUGUAGAAUAAGCUCCGG